ensembl:lncRNA
GAAGGCUGUGAGGAAGCCACAUGCUGUUUUUCAUCUCCCAGCAUUGUACCCUUACUCCUCCUCUUUAUAUUGAAGUAACACAGUGAAACAUGCUGUGUGUAUCUGGGGGAGGAGAGGAAAACAGAGAAGUUGCAACUAUGGGGAUGGAUUUGGAGCAAUCCAGAUUUCAUUUGCCCCCUUUCCACAAGAAGGUUAUGGAAGCUGUGCUCCUGACCCAUUUGUUCUUCCAUUACGCUGUAAUGUUUGGAAAAAUACACAGCAGGAUUUAUGGAAAGUGCUUCAAAGCCUAAUUUUCCUCUCCAAAUCUCCAGCAGGUAUCUCUCCGAGCUCCGCUUCACAUGAGGAGUACGUGCAGCUGACCUCCUGAACUGGGCAUGGAAGAAGCAGAGAAAGCCAAAUCUCUCUCUGUUGUGCUCAGGCCUUGGAAUCACCCAAGGUCACUACUGCAAAACACAGCGUGCCCUGAGGACCUCCCCAGCCUUUCUGCACAGGUGACCUAACAGGAAAGCUAAGUGGAACUUUGGGUUGGUGGUGAUAUGCAGGCCAACCCAAAGACAACUGAAUCUGACUCAUUUCCUUUAUCAUUACCUUUUUAACCCUUUAAAGAUCAGCCUUUGUAACCAAUAAAAUUGAUCAUGCAUGCCUUCACUGUUCAGACUUGCUGUGUAUUCAGCAGCUGUUUUCUAACUUACAGUAUCUCUUGUGUUUUGUCCCUGAAUUCCAUGCAGUCUGUGACUCCCAUAUGGACAAACUUGUCUGUCCUUGAUAUGAAAUUUGGUCUCAGCUUUGGCAGUUUGCAAGUCUACACUACAGCAUAUCUUUAAAAAGGAAAACCAGCAGCUGCAACUAACCAGAACGUUCUGCAUCACCUUCAACUACUGUAGCCCUUUUGAUACUGAUAGCAGAGAGUUUUUUAAUAACUAUCUCUAUUUACCCGCAUGUUCUUUGAGGUGUGAGCUGGCUCAUGAUGAUGACAGUAUCCACUGAGGACCAGAAAGCUAUAAACAGUACUAUAAACUCAAAGAUGUGUGUAUAGCACCAGAGGUAAAGCAUUCCCAUACUGACGUGGAAUCUAAUUCCAGCCAAUGAUUUGUAACAAUCAUGAACUUAACCUGGAAGGAGACAGGAAAGCAGUCAUGUGAGGUAAAUGGGCUUUGUCUCCCCAGAGCCUUCUCUCUUGAAAUGAUUUCCUCAUUAAUGCACUCCUUCCUAAAUUCUACUUUAGCUCUCAUUUGCAUUUUUGAGUUCUUAAGGCUGUUUUCAGAUGUACUGUAUACACGCCAAAGGCCAUGUAAAUGCAGGCUCUACUCUGAGCUCAGUGAACUUCAGCCAAUUUAUUCUAGUUGAGUAACUGUCCAGGUGAAUCCAGAUUUCUUUACUCAUUUUUCAGCAGAAUAAACUGUAAUCAGCCUCUCUGUAAAUAUGCAUCUUAUGUACCCAAUAUUAACUAGAUCUAAUCAGCUUAAUUAUGUGGUUAAUAAUAAUUCAAGUUCAUGCAGCAUAAUCUUCUAUUUAAAGUGGGUACAAUAUUUUACAGUAUCUGAAAAAUGGCUUGGCUUAAUAAACAGAUGGAAGAAAAAUAUCUUUAAAAAGAGAAUUAAAGGACAACUCUUGAAUGCAGAUUUCAGCAUUACCCAAAGAACAUUCGCACACAAAUCCUUCUUCCAGAGAAGUGCUGCACAACAGGCGUUCACCAACAAAAGGAUUUCCAAUACUAUUUGAAAUCCUGUUCUGGCUUCUACAGUGCAAAUCUGUCUCCUCAUCUGCAGGAGAGCUCAAAAACAGUACAGUUGUGUUCUACUGUGCAAGUGCCAACCCUACGGCAGUGCCAAUUCUGUACUGUAUAAACCGUUUUGUAUCUCUAUUUCUACCUGCUAUCUCUUUUGCCUCACUGGUACAAACAAAUGUUGUUUUGGUGCAAGGCAGUGCAGAAUGAGUCUGGAUGCAUUGGCAUACUUCUGAGUUCACUUCCUGAACCGUAUUAAUAUCUAAUAAUUAAAAACCGUUUUCAAAUACUUAAAAUUCAUGUUUCACUAAAGAUGGUUAUACCCAACACCCAUAUUUUGACCACUUUUGGUUUAUAAUUAUCCUUUUCUAAUUCUUCCAUAUUUACUUAUUGUAACUCUAUAUAUCAUAUACAGCAUUUAAUGCUAUAUUUUAAACUGCAGACAGCAAAUCAAAAUGCUUCAGCUCUGUUUUUCAUGGUUCAGACAUGUCUGAAAUAUAAUGAGAGCAGGGAUUUGUCUGCCCUGAUUUAAUUACUACAAUCCAGAUAACUCUGUCAAUCAAUUUUUCUCCUUGUGACUCCUGGCAGGGUGAAAAAUGCCUUCAUUAUAAGGACUGAUCAUUAGUGGAUGUGAAGUUGAGAAGAUGAUGAAGAUGAGUUGUUGGGUCUGGCAGAGAAUUGACCCAUCAGUGUCAUUAAGUGAACUGCGGCAAGCCCAGCAAUUCCCAUGGGGCAAAUCAUUGAAUUCCUCAGGAGCAAAGGUCUGUGUCUGUCUAUACCAAAGCACUUUGAAAUGUACACACAUGCAGUUUGCAGUAGUCUGAUGGAUAACUAAACAAUUACACAGGCAGUAACUGAUUUGUCCUUCUCUUUUCAUGAAAGAAACAACCUUUAAGGUACUGUGUUUUAGUUUCCUUUCUAUGUGACGGUUUAAAUAACGUUUAUAUCCACUGCCCUUUCAACUCUGUAUUACCAAAGUUAGCUCCAAGCUGCAUCCACCUCCCAACACACAAAAGCUCUGUAUUAAAAAUGUUAAUUGCAAUUCUGAGUUCUUUUCCUUCUAAAUACUGAACGACAAGACCGGCUCUCUGAGCUCUAAGGAAUUUGUAAUCAAUGUUUUUCACAUAGCUGUAAAAACACCUUCCUGUAGAGCAGCCUCAGUGACAAGCAACUGAAUGAAAAACGAGCACUGUAUGUUCAAUGUUUUUUUCUAAACUAUGCUUUAAUUGCAAACGGUAAUUUUACGUAAUUGACCUAUUAAUCAUAAAAUAAAAUUUUAAAAAGGAGGAAAAUUGUUACAAACCAAAAUAUUGCUAGGAGAGCAGUACUCACACAGAGAACAUUCUGUUGGAAUCAAAGGCAUAUGCAGGGGACCAUAAUACGGAGGCAGGGAUGCUGUGCAGGUUACUGUCAUUGUGCUGCUUUUAGAGUAAGUUGUAGAGGACACCGUGUGGGGACUCAGGGCUAUGUGCUAUAAGCCCCCAGGCACCGCAGUCUGACCUCUCCAGCUUUCAGGCUGCAGAGUCGGGCAGUUCUUGCAGUGCCCAUUUCAGCUCCUGUGCUAAUUCUUCCCUGGUGGACUACAAACAUUUACUGAGAAGAUUUAAUUGUGAGGUCUUUGGUUGCUAGCACAUGAUUCAAACUUCAGAUUGAAGGCAAUUUAAACACACAAGUGUGCAAGCAGGGAGAUGCAAAGCAUGCAAGCAACCUUUGGCAGGAGUACAGAGAGAAUACAG